rnacentral:misc_RNA from 1 species
GUUAUCAAAUCUCUCAGGCUUAAAACUCAUUGGAUCAUCCCAAAGCGCAGGAUCUCUGUGCAAAGCCCAUGCAUUUACCAAUACGAUUGUGCCACGUGGCACAUUGUAUCCUCCAAUAGUGCAAUCAUCAGAUGCUUCAUGAGGGACAAGGAGUGGGGUGGCCGGGUAUAAUCGGAGGGUUUCGUGGAAGAUGUUUUGGAGGUAUGGUAGUUUGGAGAGAUGAGGCUCAUCUAGUAAGCAUUGUGGGCCAACUUGAGCUUUCUAUUUCAUCUCUAGCUUUCUUCAAUACGUGUGGAUUAUUGAGUAGAUUGGACAUUGCC